AGCCAGGUCGGUUUCUAUCUUCUAGGUAUGAAAUAGGUUAUUUUAGUACGAAAGGAUUAAAUAAUCAAAAAAUUUUUAAUAC
rnacentral:rRNA from 1 species